AGAGUUUGAUCAUGGCUCAGGAUGAACGCUAGCUACAGGCUUAACACAUGCAAGUCGAGGGGAAACGACAUCGAAAGCUUGCUUUUGAUGGGCGUCGACCGGCGCACGGGUGAGUAACGCGUAUCCAACCUGCCCAUCACCUGGGGAUAACCUUGCGAAAGUAAGACUAAUACCCAAUGAUAUCUCUAGAAGACAUCUGAAAGAGAUUAAAGAUUUAUCGGUGAUGGAUGGGGAUGCGUCUGAUUAGCUUGUUGGCGGGGUAACGGCCACCAAGGCUACGAUCAGGUAGGGGUUCUGAGAGGAAGGUCCCCCANAUUGGAACUGAGACACGGUCCAAACUCCUACGGGAGCA
rnacentral:rRNA from 1 species